GCAAAUGUAGUUAGGUUGGGAAUAGAAGAUUUUUUAUUCAACUUGGAAAUGGUUCUCAUCAUUGCAAGCAAGGUAGAAAAAUUAAGAUCCAACCAAAUUAUGAUAAGUGAGACUUGCACACAACUCAAUUCUACAUUACUCCAAUAAUUAUUUGGGACCACACUAGAUUACUGUUUCACGAAAUAUGCUCACAUUAAUUAUAUGGUAAUUUUGUAAUAAAAAUAUGAAUUGUUACAAACAG
rnacentral:lncRNA from 1 species